UACGUAGGGGGCUAGCGUUGUCCGGAAUCAUUGGGCGUAAAGCGCGUGUAGGCGGCCCGGUAAGUCCGCUGUGAAAGUCGGGGGCUCAACCCUCGAAAGCCGGUGGAUACUGUCGGGCUCGAGUGCGGAAGAGGCGAGUGGAAUUCCUGGUGUAGCGGUGAAAUGCGCAGAUAUCUGGAGGAACACCGGUGGCGAAGGCGGCAUCCUGGACCGGCAUUGACGCUGAGGAGCGAAAGCCAGGGGAGCAAACGGG
rnacentral:rRNA from 1 species